GGAGUAAAAGUCGUAACAAGGUUUCCGUAGGUGAACCUGCGGAAGGAUCAUUAUCACAUACUUGUUGUUAUAUAAUUAGUAAAACAAUUAUAUGCACAACAUGUAAACACCAAACAUGUGCUCCCUUUUUUCCACACCUACAACCCAACCAUUUAAUUUAACAAAUCAAUUUAUAUCAACCUGUACACCUUAGUGUACUUGCGGAUGUGAAUAUCAUACUUAAUAGAUUGUAUAAAAAACAACUGUUAACAAUGGAUAUCUUGGUUCUC
rnacentral:misc_RNA from 1 species